AGUUGGCCGGGGUAAGAGCCCACCAAGGCGACGAUCGGUAGCUGGUCUGAGAGGAUGAUCAGCCACACUGGUACUGAGAUACGGACCAGACUCCUACGGGAGGCAGCAGUGGGGAAUAUUGCGCAAUGGGCGAAAGCCUGACGCAGCAACGCCGCGUGGGUGAUGAAGGCCUUCGGGUCGUAAAGCCCUGUCGGGUGGGAAGAAACCUGGGAAACCAGCUGACGGUACCACCAAAGGAAGCACCGGCUAACUCCGUGCCAGCAGCCGCGGUAA
rnacentral:rRNA from 1 species